rnacentral:misc_RNA from 1 species
AACGGUCUAUACCUGCGGUACCUGCGGAGGGAUCAUUAUCAAUUUACAGCGGACUUCGGUCCUGUCUGCACCCUUGUCUUUUGCGUACUAUAUGUUUCCUCGGUGGGCUUGCCUGCCGAUAGGACACUUAUAAACUCUUUUGUAAUUGCAAUCAGCGUCGGAAAACUAUAAUAGUUACAACUUUUAGCAAUGGAUCUCU